rnacentral:lncRNA from 1 species
CACUGCCUGUGCUUGUACAAUACUGAGAAGUCAGGAAGAGCUUGAGUUGGCUGUAAUUCUAUAGGGUGAAUGGAUGCUGAUGGUGUUUCCUAGCAACAGCUGAAAAGAAAUCAAUGUCAAGUGAUACAAGUUCCAGCCAGAGAAAACCACUUAAUUUGUAGAUAACCAAAGGUCAUAGAAGGUUGUCAAAUAAAUCCCUUUAAUCUAAUUAUGAAUGACAUUUACCUCAAUAAAGCCACA